rnacentral:rRNA from 1 species
AUUGAACGCUGGCGGAAUGCUUUACACAUGCAAGUCGAGCGGCAGCGCGGGGGCAACCUUGGCGGCGAGCGGCGAACGGGUGAGUAACAUAUCGGAACGUACCCCGUCGUGGGGGACAACACAGCGAAAGCUGUGCUAAUACCGCAUACGACCUGAGGGUGAAAGCGGGGGACCGUAAGGCCUCGCGCGAUGGGAGCGGCCGAUAUCGGAUUAGCUUGUUGGUGAGGUAAAGGCUCACCAAGGCGACGAUCCGUAGCUGGUCUGAGAGGACGACCAGCCACACUGGAACUGAGACACGGUCCAGACUCCUACGGGAGGCAGCAGUGGGGAAUUUUGGACAAUGGGGGCAACCCUGAUCCAGCCAUUCCGCGUGAGUGAAGAAGGCCUUCGGGUUGUAAAGCUCUUUCGGCAGGAACGAAACGGUGGCCACUAAUACUGGCUACUAAUGACGGUACCUGAAGAAGAAGCACCGGCUAACUACGUGCCAGCCGCCGCAGUAACAC